CACACUAUCAUUAACUGAAUCCAUAGGUUAAUGAGGCGAACCGGGGGAACUGAAACAUCUAAGUACCCCGAGGAAAAGAAAUCAACCGAGAUUCCCCCAGUAGCGGCGAGCGAACGGGGAGCAGCCCAGAGCCUGAAUCAGUGUGUGUGUUAGUGGAAGCGUCUGGAAAGGCGCGCGAUACAGGGUGACAGCCCCGUACACAAAAAUGCACAUACUGUGAGCUCGAUGAGUAGGGCGGGACACGUGGUAUCCUGUCUGAAUAUGGGGGGACCAUCCUCCAAGGCUAAAUACUCCUGACUGACCGAUAGUGAACCAGUACCGUGAGGGAAAGGCGAAAAGAACCCCGGCGAGGGGAGUGAAAAAGAACCUGAAACCGUGUACGUACAAGCAGUGGGAGCCUCUUAAUGGGGUGACUGCGUACCUUUUGUAUAAUGGGUCAGCGACUUAUAUUCUGUAGCAAGGUUAACCGAAUAGGGGAGCCGAAGGGAAACCGAGUCUUAACUGGGCGUUAAGUUGCAGGGUAUAGACCCGAAACCCGGUGAUCUAGCCAUGGGCAGGUUGAAGGUUGGGUAACACUAACUGGAGGACCGAACCGACUAAUGUUGAAAAAUUAGCGGAUGACUUGUGGCUGGGGGUGAAAGGCCAAUCAAACCGGGAGAUAGCUGGUUCUCCCCGAAAGCUAUUUAGGUAGCGCCUCGUGAAUUCAUCUCCGGGGGUAGAGCACUGUUUCGGCAAGGGGGUCAUCCCGACUUACCAACCCGAUGCAAACUGCGAAUACCGGAGAAUGUUAUCACGGGAGACACACGGCGGGUGCUAACGUCCGUCGUGAAGAGGGAAACAACCCAGACCGCCAGCUAAGGUCCCAAAGUCAUGGUUAAGUGGGAAACGAUGUGGGAAGGCCCAGACAGCCAGGAUGUUGGCUUAGAAGCAGCCAUCAUUUAAAGAAAGCGUAAUAGCUCACUGGUCGAGUCGGCCUGCGCGGAAGAUGUAACGGGGCUAAACCAUGCACCGAAGCUGCGGCAGCGAC
rnacentral:rRNA from 1 species